rnacentral:RNase_P_RNA from 1 species
GUAGUGCUUUGGCUCUGCCGCUGGCGCAGCAUUUACCACUUUUCCCCGUGGAACUGUUGGUUCUGGUGCAGCGCGAGAGGAAAGUCCGGGCAGCAUAGGACGCUCCACUUCUGAAAGUAGAAGCUGUCUGCGAAGGCAGGUCAGGGUAGAAGAAAACAACCGCUCCGCUUAAGGGAGUAAGGGUGAGAAGGUGGUGUAAGAGACCACCAGCCGGCGGGUGAUCGUCGGGCUGUGCCCACUGGAGGCUGCAAGUUCAUGUAAACCAUCGACCGAGGGUUGUCCGCCCGAGUGAAGCAAUUCAGCGAUGGAGGGUAGAACGCUAGAGCCGCAGGGCGACCUGCGGAGUAGAUAAAUGGCAGGCACCUGACAGCCUGUGGCGUCAGGAACAGAACCCGGCUUAUAGAAGCACUGCAUUC